rnacentral:rRNA from 1 species
GAGUUUGAUCAUGGUUCAGGGUGAACGCUAGCGAUAGGCCUAACACAUGCAAGUCGAGGGGCAACACAUGAAGUAGCAAUACGGAUGGUGGCGACCGGCGCACGGGUGAGUAACGCGUAUGCAAUCUACCUACAACAAGGGAAUAACCCGUUGAAAAACGGACUAAUACCCUAUAAUACAGGGGUCCCGCAUGGGAAUAUUUGUUAAAGAUUUAUCGGUUGUAGAUGAGCAUGCGUUCCAUUAGCUGGUUGGUGAGGUAACGGCCCACCAAGGCAACGAUGGAUAGGGGAACUGAGAGGUUUAUCCCCCACACUGGUACUGAGACACGGACCAGACACCUACGGGAGGCAGCAGUGAGGAAUAUUGGUCAAUGGACGCAAGUCUGAACCAGCCACGUCGCGUGAAGGAAGACGGCCCUACGGGUUGUAAACUUCUUUUGUAAGGGAAUAAAGUGCAGUACGAGUACUGUUUUGCAUGUACCU